rfam:Triticum aestivum genome assembly, contig: Triticum_aestivum_CS42_TGACv1_scaffold_503136_6BL
CAAAUACUCCCUCUGUCCGGAAAUACUUGUCAUCAAAAUGGAUAAAAGGAAAUGUAUCUAGACGUAUUUUAGUUUUAGAUACAUCUAUUUUUAUCCAUUUUGAUGACAAGUAUUUUCGGACGGAGGGAGUAGAAA